rnacentral:tRNA from 1 species
UCAAAAAAUAGUUUUAAGCUAAAAAUAUUAAUUUUGGGAAUUAAAGAUAUAUAUUUAUUUUUUUGAA